rnacentral:rRNA from 1 species
GAGUUCAAUAGUACGUGAAACCGUUCAGGGGUAAACCUGAGAAGCCCGAAAGGUCGAAAGAGGAGAUUCAGCGUGUCUCGACGGCGGCGCUGGACGGUCGAGAGACGGAAGGCGUACGCGUCGUCCGCUCCUUCCGUUCUUCGAACCGCCGUAGAACGCGUGCACUUCUCCUCCUGUAGGACGUUGCGAUCCGUUGGGUGCCGGUCUAAGGCCCGCGGUGGAGCCCGUUCGGACGGUUCGCCGUUCCGGACGAACCCGUGGUGUUUCCCGAUCGGCUCGCUCGACGGUAUACAUAUGGCGCGGGGCCGCUACACAUACAGUUAGCGUCCGACCCGUGGCAAGCGCGCUCGUCGUGAUGGUGAUCGGACCCGGUGCCGGUCCUGUCCCCGAGUGGCUGUUCGCUACGGAGUUCUCGGACAGACCUCGUUGAAACGCCGAUCUGCGACGCUAUAGCUUUGGGUACUUUCAGGACCCGUCUUGAAACACGGACCAAGGAGUCUAGCAUGUGCGCGAGUCAUUGGGACAUGACUAAACCUAAAGGCGCAAUGAAAGUGAAAGUCCGCCUCGCGCGGACCGAGGGAGGAUGGGUGGUAGGAUAGUUACGGCUGCCGCUCCGCACUCCCGGGGCGUCUCGUUCUCAUUGCGAGAAGAGGCGCACCAACAGCGUACACGCUGGGACCCGAAAGAUGGUGAACUAUGCCUGGUCAGGACGAAGUCAGGGGAAACCCUGAUGGAGGUCCGUAGCGAUUCUGACGUGCAAAUCGAUCGUCGGAACUGGGUAUAGGGGCGAAAGACUAAUCGAACCAU